CCUACGGGAGGCAGCAGUGGGGAAUUUUGGACAAUGGGCGCAAGCCUGAUCCAGCAAUGCCGCGUGAGUGAAGAAGGCCUUCGGGUUGUAAAGCUCUUUUGUCAGGGAAGAAACGGUGGGAGCUAAUAUCUCCUGCUAAUGACGGUACCUGAAGAAUAAGCACCGGCUAACUACGUGCCAGCAGCCGCGGUAAUACGUAGGGUGCAAGCGUUAAUCGGAAUUACUGGGCGUAAAGCGUGCGCAGGCGGUUUUGUAAGACUGUCGUGAAAUCCCCGGGCUCAACCUGGGAAUGGCGAUGGUGACUGCAAGGCUAGAGUUUGGCAGAGGGGGGUAGAAUUCCACGUGUAGCAGUGAAAUGCGUAGAUAUGUGGAGGAACACCGAUGGCGAAGGCAGCCCCCUGGGUCAAAACUGACGCUCAUGCACGAAAGCGUGGGGAGCAAACAGGAUUAGAUACCCUGGUAGUCCACGCCCUAAACGAUGUCUACUAGUUGUCGGGUCUUAAAUUGACUUGGUAACGCAGCUAACGCGNGAGAGACGCCGCGGGAGGUAACGGUCGCGAGAAGUUAAACUUAACUUAAAUAGAAGUUAGACGGCGNGAGAGNGCGACGGACGACGACGAGGGAGGAGG
rnacentral:rRNA from 1 species